rnacentral:snRNA from 15 species
UGACUUACCUGGCGCCGGGUUCAGGGUGAUCAAGAUUACUCUGAACCCGGGUCGAGGCUCAUCAUUGAACAUCGGUGAGUUGAAACUCGCGCCGGACCCUAAUCAUGCAUGUAGUGAUGACGGGCACUGAGUUUAAGUCUCAGUGACGACAUCACC